rnacentral:tRNA from 1 species
AAAUAAGAAGCAAAAUUGCAUUUAAUUUCGACUUAAAAGAUUGAGUUUAAUCAACUCCUUAUUUA